rnacentral:rRNA from 1 species
AACCAGCACCUCAAGUGGUCAGGAUGAUUAUUGGGCCUAAAGCAUCCGUAGCCUGUUUUGCAAGUCUUCGGUUAAAUCCAUCAACUCAAGUGAUGGGCCGCCGGAGAUACUACAAAACUAGGGAAUGGGAGAGGUAGACGGUACUCGGUAGGAAGGGGUAAAAUCCUUUGAUCUAUUGAUGACCACCUGUGGCGAAGGCGGUCUACCAGAACAUGUUCGACGGUGAGGGAUGAAAGCUGGGGGAGCAAACCGG